rnacentral:rRNA from 1 species
CAUGCAAGUCGAACGAUGAAGCCCUUCGGGGUGGAUUAGUGGCGAACGGGUGAGUAACACGUGGGCAAUCUGCCCUUCACUCUGGGACAAGCCCUGGAAACGGGGUCUAAUACCGGAUAACACUCUGUCCCUCAUGGGGCGGGGUUAAAAGCUCCGGCGGUGAAGGAUGAGCCCGCGGCCUAUCAGCUUGUUGGUGGGGUAAUGGCCUACCAAGGCGACGACGGGUAGCCGGCCUGAGAGGGCGACCGGCCACACUGGGACUGAGACACGGCCCAGACUCCUACGGGAGGCAGCAGUGGGGAAUAUUGCACAAUGGGCGAAAGCCUGAUGCAGCGACGCCGCGUGAGGGAUGACGGCCUUCGGGUUGUAAACCUCUUUCAGCAGGGAAGAAGCGAAAGUGACGGUACCUGCAGAAGAAGCACCGGCUAACUACGUGCCAGCAGCCGCGGUAAUACGUAGGGUGCGAGCGUUGUCCGGAAUUAUUGGGCGUAAAGAGCUCGUAGGCGGCUUGUCACGUCGGAUGUGAAAGCUCGGGGCUUAACCCCGAGUCUGCAUUCGAUACGGGCUAGCUAGAGUGUGGUAGGGGAGAUCGGAAUUCCUGGUGUAGCGGUGAAAUGCGCAGAUAUCAGGAGGAACACCGGUGGCGAAGGCGGAUCUCUGGGCCAUUACUGACGCUGAGGAGCGAAAGCGUGG